GGGCUGCUAGCUCAGGGGUAGAGCAGUUGGCUUUUAACCAAUUGGUCGAAGGUUCAAAUCCUUCGCAGCCCACCA
rnacentral:tRNA from 1 species